rnacentral:rRNA from 1 species
AACGAACGCUGGCGGCAUGCCUAACACAUGCAAGUCGAACGAGACCUUCGGGUCUAGUGGCGCAUGGGUGCGUAACGCGUGGGAACCUGCCCUUAGGUUCGGAAUACCUCCCCGAAAGGGGUGCUAAUACCGGAUAAUGUCUUCUGACCAAGGAUUUAUCGCCUUUGGAUGGGCCCGCGUUGGAUUAGCUAGUUGGUAGGGUAAAAGCCUACUAAGGCGUCGAUCCAUAGCUGGUCUGAGAGGAUGAUCAGCCACACUGGGACUGAGACACGGCCGAGACUCCUACGGGAGGGAGCAGUGGGGAAUAUUGGACAAUGGGCGAAAGGCUGAUCCAGCAAUGACGCGUGAGUGAUGAAGGCCUUAGGGUUGUAAAGCUCUUUUACCCGGGAUGAUAAUGACAGUACCGGGAGAAUAAGCUCCGGCUAACUCCGUG